UUCUCGGAUCCUCAGUGAUUAUUACCUGUGUAUUGCCGAUUCCCUCCAGUUUCUCACCGCUCGGCUGAUACACCUGAAAUCGUUCGAGACGACGCCUGCGACUACAGUGCCUGAGAGUCCACUUUCUUUAUACUUUCAUCAGCACUGGAUAGGGUAUGGCUCUCUUAUUCCACAGAAGUAAAUAAUUGCAUUUCUUCAGAUCAACUUGAAUCUAAACCUGAGCUCCCAUCCUGCCAUGCUGGUGGAUAAAGCUGUUGCAAAAUCAUUCAUGAAGCCAGUUGGCCGGUGUUUUUUCCUUGCUUUAUUGAACAUAAUGAAUUGAUUAAGAUUGGGAAGAUCUCAUUACUAAUGAGGAGAACCCUGCUUGUGCCAUUUCAAGAAAACCAGAGAAGUGAAAAAGAUUGAAAAGAGAAACAAAAAGCAAGCAGAGGAUACUAGAGAAUACAAGGACCAAAAAUAAAAGCAGCUUCAAGUUAGUGGUUUUUCCCACCUUCUGGAAGAGCUAAGCUGAUUGAACAGAUGAUGCUGGGUGUCCUGGAGAACAGAGAGAGAAACGAUAGAAGAGAAGUAAGAGGCUGCUCCAGGAGCUUC